rnacentral:rRNA from 1 species
AGCAGCCGCGGUAAUUCCAGCUCCAAUAGCGUAUAUUAAAGUUGUUGCAGUUAAAAAGCUCGUAGUUGAAUUUCGGGAUCAAUACGUCGGUCGUGCCUUUGGUACGUACUGUCGUCAUUGGUUUCUCCUUUCUGACGAACCAUGAUGUCAUUAAUUUGGUGUUAUGGGAAGUUAGGACUGUUACUUUGAAAAAAUUGAGUGUUUAAAGCAGGCAUUAGCUUGAAUACAUUAGCAAUGGAAUAAUGAAAUAGGACGUUCGAAUCCUAUUUGUUGGUUCUAGGAUCAACGUAAUGAUUAAUAGGGAUAGUU